GCCAUAUUUUGAGAACUGAGAGUAGGCAUAUCUAGUCCAAGGCCCUAGACUUGGACAUUUGAGCAGCAUCAGCAGGAGUUAAACCCAUUCUUAAUUUCUCAUCGAGGAACAGGUUACAGUUCCUAUCCUGCUUGCAAAUUUAACUUCAGUGACGGACUGAUAGGUGAUUUCUCUUUGCUAUUUGCCUAUUUGUUAUCAAUUCCAUACUUCAAGAACAGAGAUUG
rnacentral:misc_RNA from 1 species